GUCGUCUCCGAUCCCUAGCAAACAAAACACCCUCUCUUUCUCUCAUGGCGAUCCGAUUCCUGAUGGCUGCCACGGCCAGCCCUCCCUUCGAACUCUCGAAGCCCUCGCUCUGCGCCGUAUCCACGGUCUUCUCUCGGUUUCUGGGAGCGCGACAGAGGUCGGCGCCAAUGAUAUGCGAAUGUGCCAAGCUGGAUCUCUCCAGCACCAAGUUCCCCUUCUUGGAGCCGCCGCCACCCGUCCGCACUCCCCAUUGUGUGGAAUCUUUAGCAGAUGGUGGUCAUGAGCGAGGGCAUAGGAAAAGGAUAGCAAAUCACCAUGGAAAUUUCUACAAUAUUUUGUUGAUCAGCGACGAUCGCCAUAAUGAAGUGCUUGUGGCGAAGGCCUUGCCAGAAAUUUUUCCAUCACUCACCACCAGCGAUGCCAAAAAACUGUUCUGGCAGUCACAGGAGAACUGCUAUGCAAUCAUCUUUGUCACGCAUUCCAAAGUAAUCCGUAUCUCAUACAAAUUUCCAGAUAUAGUUUCUUAUACGGAUCGAAGUCUCAGAUAUUUACUAAAUGAUGAGUUUAGGGUGCAAUUAGAAGUCGGUCGAUUAACUUUCUGAUGCACAGGAGCUUGCUGAGAUCUACGUGCGGAGAAUGAUGUCAUGGGGACUGCACGCGGCGAUGGAGCCAGAACUUUUCAUACGGGCCAAGUGAGUUGAAGGUACUGCAGUCAUGCUAAAUUUUGUUCCACACGUUGACGUUUCUGUUCUGGAAUUUGUUUCGAACAGCCAUGCAUGAAGUUUCCACCAAUUAAAAACAAAAACGAGAAAAAAAAAAAAACAGUGACAUUCGAGCCAAAUGUCCCAAUUAU